rnacentral:lncRNA from 1 species
AGUUCAGGGUGCCGUUCCAGGUCACGCCGUGCCGGGAGAGCGGCCCCAGCCAGGUGGAGCGGCGGCUGGAGGCGCUGGCGCUGGAGCUGGAGAAGGAGCUGGAGCUGCACGCGAAGAAGGAGUACUUCGGUCGUGUCCAGUGGUUUGAGUUGGGCCAGAAGCGGCUUGGAAGCCAGGGACCUGCAGGCCCCAUCAGAAUAAAGCUGAAGGUUACGGACGCUUUGGAGUGCACUGCAUUAACCCAGAGGCAAUUUGUUGACAGGCGCAGCCUCUGUUUCGUGGACGGAGAACAACGAGCGGCCGCAUCCCAGGCACAAAAGUUGUUCCGAAGCAGCGGGAGGAUCCCCGUCCUGCACUUCCGCGUAGCUCUGGCAGACGGCGUGGCUGUUUCCCC